CGAAAACAGAAGUACCUUGAAGCUUCAGACAAGCUGAUCGUGCUAAAGGUGUGGAUAUAUUAGUUAAAGAUUUGAAAGUUUUUGCUGUGUUUAAUGAAGAGCUUUUCAAGGAGAUCACACAGCUAUUGACACUGGAGAACUUUAGAGAUAAUGAACAGCUCUCGAAAUAUGGAGAUACGAAGUCUGCUAGGGGUAGAAUGCUAGCUGAACUGAAAACGUUGAUAGAGGCUAAUCCACUUUUCCACGAUAACUUCAAUUUCCUACCUUGAAGAAUCAAGGCUACGGACACUAAUUAACCAGAGGUCCUUGGGAAGUUCUUUUCUUUCUUGCGUGUCUAUCUUUAUGAUUUUGUAACUUUUGUUUAUUGCUUUUAAUUGAACAUGUUCACUUUUAUUAGCAUUUGAAUUGAGUUUAAAUUAGCAGCAUCAGCUGUGUAAGAAUCCAAGGCCUGAUCCAACAUAAAGACCCUAUUUGUAGACCACAGUUGUGGACAGCCAAAUGGUGCUCAAGCCCGUCUCACGUACCAAUCCUUUAAUGGGUGCUGUUUCAAAGCCUGGAGGUUUCUCCACUACUGAGUGCUCAUGGUGUUAGUAAAAAUUUUGAAGGUUCUAGGUAAUUGAGCUAACUUGGACUCUGACUGCUUGGAAAUUUAACUUUAAAUUGUUUCUUCCAGCCAUUUCAGCCUACUCUUGCUGUUCUUUCGACUUCUCUUGCUGGAUGGAUGGCAA